GAUUGCCUUAGUAACGGCGAGUGAAGCGGCAAAAGCUCAAAUUUGAAAUCUGGUACCUUCGGUGCCCGAGUUGUAAUUUGGAGAGGGCAACUUUGGGGCCGUUCCUUGUCUAUGUUCCUUGGAACAGGACGUCAUAGAGGGUGAGAAUCCCGUGUGGCGAGGAGUGCGGUUCUUUGUAAAGUGCCUUCGAAGAGUCGAGUUGUUUGGGAAUGCAGCUCUAAGUGGGUGGUAAAUUCCAUCUAAAGCUAAAUAUUGGCGAGAGACCGAUAGCGAACAAGUACAGUGAUGGAAAGAUGAAAAGAACUUUGAAAAGAGAGUGAAAAAGUACGUGAAAUUGUUGAAAGGGAAGGGCAUUUGAUCAGACAUGGUGUUUUGUGCCCUCUGCUCCUUGUGGGUAGGGGAAUCUCGCAUUUCACUGGGCCAGCAUCAGUUUUGGUGGCAGGAUAAAUCCAUAGGAAUGUAGCUUGCCUCGGUAAGUAUUAUAGCCUGUGGGAAUACUGCCAGCUGGGACUGAGGACUGCGACGUAAGUCAAGGAUGCUGGCAUAAUGGUUAUAUGCCGCCCGUCUUGAAACACGGACCU
rnacentral:rRNA from 1 species